rnacentral:lncRNA from 1 species
AACACUUUUUUCCCCCCCUUGUUGACUAUGUCCUUAUUUGAAGAACCAUCCAACAUUAAUCCAGACUCUUGUUCUUGAGAAGGGUUUCUGGGAGAAAAUGACGGUGUCCAAUUCAAAUUAACUGAGGAUAUUACUCACCUCAUUAAGGUUACAAGUUUUAAAGGAGAUACCACAUAAGCAAAAAUAAACAAAUAGGACCUAACAAAUUAAUAAGCUUUUGCACAACAAAGGAAACUAUAAACAAAUGGAAAAAAAAGACAACCUAUGGAAUGGGAGAAAAUACCUGCAAGUGAUGCAAUCAGCAAGGGGUUAAUAUCCAAAACAUACAAACAACUCAUACAACUGAAUUAUUGAAAAAACAAGCAACCCAAUCAAAAAAAUGAGCAGAAGACCUCGACAGACAUUUCUCCAAAGAAGGCAUACAGAUGAUUAACAGGCACAUGAAAAGAUACUUAACAACCCUAAUCAUUAGAGAAAUGUAAAGCAAACCACAAUGAGGUACCACCUCACAUAGAUCAGAAUGGCUAUCAUCAGAAAGUCUACAAAUAAUAAAUGCUGGAGAGUGAAGAUAAAAGGGACCCCUCCUACACUGCUGGGAAUGUAAACUGGUGCAGCAACUAUGGAAAACAGUAUGGAGAUUCCUUAAAAAACUAAAAAUAGAGCUAUCAUAGAAUCCAGCAAUCCCAUUCCUGGGCAUAUAUCUGGAAAAGACAAAAACUCUAAUUUGAAAAGAUACAUGCACUCCAACAUUCAUAUGGAAUAUUACUUGGUCAUAAAAAUAUUACCAUUUCAGCAAUACAGAUGAACCUAGAGAUUUUUAUACUUAGUAAGUCAAAGACAAACGUUUUAUGAUAUCACUUGUGUGUGGUAUCUGAAAAAUAACCCAAACAAGUUUAUAUUCAAACUGAAACAGACUUACAGACGUAGAAAAUAAACUAGUGUUUAUCAAAGGGGAAGGUGGAGGGAUAAACUAGGAGUAUGGAAUUAACAAAUACAAACUCUGACACAUAAAAUAGAUAAGCAACAAGGAUUUACUAAUUGCACAGGAAACUAUAUUCAGUAUCUUGUAAUAACCUAUAAUGGAAAAUAAUCUGAAAAAAAAUUAACAAUCACUUGGCAGUAGGCCUGAAACUGACAAAAUAUUGUGAAUCAACUAUACUUCAAAUCAAAAUUAGGUGAACCCGAAUAUAACUUCAUUUGGUUGGACUGAAAUACAUGUGUUUUUAAUAUCUUGAAAGAAUGCUGUAAUUAUGUAGUAUACUUCACAAUAAGGCUUUCACUAGGAUUAGCAAGUUUGAGAUAUGCUCUUUCUUCUCAAUUUCUGUAUUCUCCAAAAGAACCCAAUACUACUGAACCUAUAAGGGCUGUAUGAUGCCUAAAUAUGCCACAUCAUUUGCUUUAUUUAGUCAUUUAUUAUUUUAAUUUAAGCCAAUUUCCAUGAAUAGUCUCUUUAGAUUUUCCUCUCUCUUGGCAUUGUUGCUUAAAUAGUCAUUUGGACAGUAAAACAUUUAACUGUUUAGACAUAUUAAGGUUUGGUGUCAUUUUGCUUAUGGUAUAUUAAAAUUUAUGCAUUGAGUUUUUCCUUUUCUUUUGUUUGGCAGUUAUCAGGUGUAAAACAGAAUAUUAAUAUUAAAAGAAGUGACUUUAUAUCCUCCAAUAUAAAACAUUUAAAAAAAAAGAUUCAUCUAGAAGAGAGCACUAUUAUGUAACUAAGUACAUGAUACUACAAAGUACAAGUUCACAAACUGAAAAGCCAGUAUAAAUGUUUCACGUAAGGAACUGCUAAAAUGAGAACAGUUAUUUAAGCUUUCAGGUACAAUGAAGAAAAAGUUCACAUACAAACAAUUUAGUGCAAUGCUACAGUCAAUCUUAAAUGGGAAGAGUUUUCUGUUCACAAAUGUUCAGUUUUGUGAAUUCAUGAACUUUAGCCUCCAAAUUAUUCAGACCCACCAUUUUGGUGAAAGAUCAGAAAAUGUCUUUUUCUGAAACUAAACUGGCUGACACAAACGUAUCCCAACUGAAGAAAUCCUAUAGCUAAAUGAAGAUUGUAAAACAAUAAACUGGAAUGUAAUCCAUGAUGGUUUACUUGGUAGUCAUACUGUGGGGUGAAGAGAAGACAUUUGGGAAAACUUUAAUCAAGGUAUUGUUGCAAAUUAGAGUGUGUAAAGAGAAGCUGAUGCAGAGCCUCCAAGGAGUCUGAAGGUCUUAAAUGGAGGUCAUAAAUAGGUUUUUUCCCCUUUUAAAUUCAAGAACUAUAUUCAAUUAUUUCAUAGGUCAGACCCAAUCAGAGAAUACCUGUCCUUAUUCUCUUUAGGAAUAUUUCUGAGGGAAGUAAAUCUCAUAUAUUCUACCCCAUGUCCUGUUUGCAGUGAUCCUAGUUUUAACUGAUGUCAAAACACUUGAUCAAUUUAGUUAAGAAUACUAAGUGAUAGGGAAGAAAAAGAGGUGAAAGGUGAGGGAUUCCAUGUACAAACAGUACUACUUAAAUAAGGAGGUAAAAAGUCCUCUUAAAAUGGUAAGAAAUUAAAGACAUGGGUUAAUUUAACUUUUCGGGCCAAUGGUCACUUGAAUAUUACAUGAAUUACAAAUGGUGAUGGAAUCAUAAUUUUAUAUAAUAGUAUAGGACAAUAUGAUUUCCUAUGGUCUUAUCUCUUUCAGUGUUCCCAAAGAGGCCACUGUGCAGGGAACUGAAAAGCAACUGAUCUUUCUCAAAUCUUCUUUCAGGAGCAUAAGUUUGACAUUUUGUUUUGCUUUGCUUUUUGAGGAUCAACUCCCUCACUUGUCCAGACUGCAUUCCAUGUCACUCGCAAUUCCUAGGGACAAGAAAAUUAGGAACUGUUGAGUUCUGUCUUCUAAACAGAGUAUUCCGUUUUGCGUGAAAUGCUGAUAUAAAGGCGGGAUUAGCUUGGGCAGAGCAGGUCAAACGCCUACUGAGUUGCCCUUGAAUACAUGGCCAUUUUCUACCUGCUCUCUUGCAGCCAUGAGAGUUGAUGGGUCAAGGGCAAGUAUUCAAGAUGUUAGCACGUGCUGAACAUAUGGAAUCACUGAAUUUUUGCAACAUUUAAAAAAAAAAAAAACCAGGAAAAGUUGUGCGGUCAUAAUCCAGGUGGUGACCUUUUUUGGGGGGUUAGUUUUAACAUUUCUACCACCUUGAGAAGUUAUUUGAAGUAAGUGGGCUUGGAGAGGCCGGGACUCUGGGGAACGGAAAUUUAAAGAGACUUUGUAGUUGUACUGAUGGAGACAGACAACUCUGCUGGCUUCAGGGAUUAUUAAUUGUGGAAUGUAAUAAUAUGUAAUAAUUGUUGAAUGUAGUAAGAGGGGAACCAAAUCAGUUCCCUUUCAGGAACUCAUACACAAUUUUGCAAGCGAAAGGCCCACCCUCAGCAAGGCGUGCUAACGCUUCAGCAACUAGGAGUCUGACCUUAGCUCACGCUCGGAGAUGACUCCGCACUUAAAACUUUUGCCGGAAGCCGGGCCACGUGACCCGCCCUUUUCCACAGCCAUGCCUAGCGGGGCAGCCGCCAGAGCUCCUACAUUUCCUAGCCCCUCCAGCGUGGGACAGCUCAGAAUCUCCCGACAGGAGGCGGAAUCAGCUAGGUUUCGACUCGAGCGUCGCCACAACUCACGCUUUUCUCCAACAGAGCUUUGCAAGUUCUUCAUCCCAAAACAGCAGCCGGAGACUUCCGCCUGGUUGCCGACCACGUGAUCACG